UGUAACACUGGCCACCGCCACCACACAGGCAUCAGGCACUUGCUGCUGGAGGGGGACCUGCCUGUAUCGCGCUCCAAGGACGCCCUGAAGUACGUGCCCUGUACGUGACAAGCGAUUAUUACUGCAAGUGGCCCAAAGCGCGUUUCCCUUCCGAGAAUUUCCACACAUUUCGGUUACUUUCUUGAUGAGGCAAGAAAACAUCACAGAAGCAACUAGCGAAGCAAAAUAAACGGCAACAAAAUAAUUAACGAGUUGCUCGCAAAAGAUGAUAGUGAACAUCAGACAAUUAAAAGCGCGACGGACUUAUUCCACGCAAAAGCAUGCGUUCUCUUCUUCCCAUGGACUGCUCAGGUGGACUACAUAAGCACUGAGAGCAAGCUUGGACGUCUUCCGACGUCUAGUUUCUCUGUGUCCCGCUGCGUUUCUAUAGGUGUCAUCCAGUACGAGCUCAGCCACGUCAUGGGCUUCUGUCAUGAGCACACCAGGAGUCACUGGGACCAGUGAGUUAGGAUCAACUGGGAAAACAUUCCACAAGGUGGAGAUGAAACGCUUGGCAACCAGUGUUUGUGAGAGGUUUGUCCAACUUUGACGGCAGCAGCACCAGCAGAGAGUUACAGUUUCCCACAGAUGCCACUUACAACCUCAACAAGCAAUAUCAAGAAACCUGGAUACUCCCUUUGAUCAGGGGCACCAUACAGCUGGGGAAAGUUAGAACGAUUCCAAUUUUAGAACAUAUUUGGUCUGGCCUGGGUUUGAGGCCCAAUAUGAUGUGCUUUCUUGGGGCCCAGAAUCUCUAGAGUAUGAGAGGUAUGAUACUUCCAUUUUAUCUUCACCUUUUGGUAUUGGAAGCACUGCUUGACGUCUAAAAACCAAAUUAGAACUUUCUGAAGACCACCUCAUGAUUUUUAGAAAGUUCUACCCUUUUUCGUUUUGAUUUAGUAAACCUUCAUGCCAAUUUCAGAACUGCCUUCGCGAGUUCCUAUGGCGAGGACACCGUCACCCCUACACCAGACCCCACUGGGCAAAUCAGACAGAGGGAUCAGUUGUCCAUCAUUGACACUAAGAGGAUCAAGCUGCUUUAAAACUGCAAUGUAUAAUAAAAAAUCUAAAUCUGACGAUGUACCAUAGGAAUCAAAG